GGGGAAUAUUGCACAAUGGGGGAAACCCUGAUGCAGCAACGCCGCGUGAAGGAUGAAGGUUUUCGGAUUGUAAACUUCUUUAGUCAGGGACGAAAAAAUGACGGUACCUGAAGAAUAAGCCACGGCUAACUACGUGCCAGCAGCCGCGGUAAUACGUAGGUGGCAAGCGUUGCCCGGAAUUACUGGGUGUAAAGGGCGUGUAGGCGGGAAUGUAAGUCAGAUGUGAAAUCCCAGGGCUUAACCCUGGAGCUGCAUCUGAAACUAUGUUUCUUGAGUGCCGGAGAGGAAAGCGGAAUUCCUAGUGUAGCGGUGAAAUGCGUAGAGAUCGGGAGGAACACCAGUGGCGAAGGCGGCCUACUGGGCUUUAACUGACGCUGAAGCACGAAAGCAUGGGGAGCAAAC
rnacentral:rRNA from 1 species